UACGUAGGGGGCUAGCGUUGUCCGGAAUCAUUGGGCGUAAAGCGCGUGUAGGCGGUCCGGUAAGUCCGCUGUGAAAGUCGGGGGCUCAACCCUCGAAUGCCGGUGGAUACUGUCGGGCUAGAGUGCGGAAGAGGCGAGUGGAAUUCCUGGUGUAGCGGUGAAAUGCGCAGAUAUCAGGAGGAACACCAAUUGCGAAGGCAGCUCGCUGGGACGUUACUGACGCUGAGACGCGAAAAGCGUGGGGAGCGAACAGG
rnacentral:rRNA from 1 species